rnacentral:lncRNA from 1 species
GUUCUUGUAGUGUCCCGAUUUUUUGCACUCAUAGCAAAUAACUUGGUCCUUCUUGUGUUCAAAUUUUUUUUUAUAUUAUUUUUAAAUUUGUUCUUUCUUAAAAUUUUUUUAAAUUUUUGAGUCAAAAGUGCAAUGUCAUUGUCACUGUCCUCAUCACUUGAUGUUCCUUUCAAGUGAUCUUCUUGUGAUGUGAGUGCCAUAUCCUUC